AUACAUGCAAGUCGAACGCGUCUCCGUUAAUGAUUUUAGGUGCUUGCACUUGAAAGAUUUAACAUUGAGACGAGUGGCGAACUGGUGAGUAACACGUGGGUAACCUGCCCUUGAAGUAGGGGAUAACACUUGGAAACAGGUGCUAAUACCGUAUAACAACCAAAACCACCUGGUUUUGGUUUAAAAGACGGCUUCGGCUGUCACUUUAGGAUGGACCCGCGGCGUAUUAGCUUGUUGGUAAGGUAACGGCCUACCAAGGCGAUGAUACGUAGCCGACCUGAGAGGGUAAUCGGCCACAUUGGGACUGAGACACGGCCCAAACUCCUACGGGAGGCAGCAGUAGGGAAUCUUCCACAAUGGACGAAAGUCUGAUGGAGCAACGCCGCGUGAGUGAUGAAGGGUUUCGGCUCGUAAAACUCUGUUGUUGGAGAAGAACAGGUGUCAGAGUAACUGUUGACAUCUUGACGGUAUCCAACCAGAAAGCCACGGCUAACUACGUGCCAGCAGCCGCGGUAAUACGUAGGUGGCAAGCGUUGUCCGGAUUUAUUGGGCGUAAAGCGAGCGCAGGCGGUUUUUUAGGUCUGAUGUGAAAGCCUUCGGCUUAACCGGAGAAGUGCAUCGGAAACCGGGAGACUUGAGUGCAGAAGAGGACAGUGGAACUCCAUGUGUAGCGGUGAAAUGCGUAGAUAUAUGGAAGAACACCAGUGGCGAAGGCGGCUGUCUGGUCUGUAACUGACGCUGAGGCUCGAAAGCA
rnacentral:rRNA from 1 species